rnacentral:rRNA from 1 species
AGAGUUUGAUCAUGGCUCAGAUUGAACGCUGGCGGCAGGCCUAACACAUGCAAGUCGAACGGUAACAGGAAGAAGCCUGCUUCUUUGCUGACGAGUGGCGGACGGGUGAGUAAUGUCUGGGAAACUGCCUGAUGGAGGGGGAUAACUACUGGAAACGGUAGCUAAUACCGCAUAACGUCGCAAGACCAAAGAGGGGUACCUUCGGGCCUCUUGCCAUCGGAUGUGCCCAGAUGGGAUUAGCUAGUAGGUGGGGUAACGGCUCACCUAGGCGACGAUCCCUAGCUGGUCUGAGAGGAUGACCAGCCACACUGGAACUGAGACACGGUCCAGACUCCUACGGGAGGCAGCAGUGGGGAAUAUUGCACAAUGGGCGCAAGCCUGAUGCAGCCAUGCCGCGUGUAUGAAGAAGGCCUUCGGGUUGUAAAGUACUUUCAGCGGGGAGGAAGGGAGUAAAGUUAAUACCUUUGCUCAUUGACGUUACCCGCAGAAGAAGCACCGGCUAACUCCGUGCCAGCAGCCGCGGUAAUACGGAGGGUGCAAGCGUUAAUCGGAAUUACUGGGAGCAAACAGGAUUAGAUACCCUGGUAGUCCACGCCGUAAACGAUGUCGACUUGGAGGUUGUGCCCUUGAGGCGUGGCUUCCGGAGCUAACGCGUUAAGUCGACCGCCUGGGGAGUACGGCCGCAAGGUUAAAACUCAAAUGAAUUGACGGGGGCCCGCACAAGCGGUGGAGCAUGUGGUUUAAUUCGAUGCAACGCGAAGAACCUUACCUGGUCUUGACAUCCACGGAAGUUUUCAGAGAUGAGAAUGUGCCUUCGGGAACCGUGAGACAGGUGCUGCAUGGCUGUCGUCAGCUCGUGUUGUGAAAUGUUGGGUUAAGUCCCGCAACGAGCGCAACCCUUAUCCUUUGUUGCCAGCGGUCCGGCCGGGAACUCAAAGGAGACUGCCAGUGAUAAACUGGAGGAAGGUGGGGAUGACGUCAAGUCAUCAUGGCCCUUACGACCAGGGCUACACACGUGCUACAAUGGCGCAUACAAAGAGAAGCGACCUCGCGAGAGCAAGCGGACCUCAUAAAGUGCGUCGUAGUCCGGAUUGGAGUCUGCAACUCGACUCCAUGAAGUCGGAAUCGCUAGUAAUCGUGGAUUAGAAUGCCACGGUGGAUACGUUCCCGGGCCUUGUACACACCGCCCGUCACACCAUGGGAGUGGGUUGCAAAAGAAGUAGGUAGCUUAACCUUCGGGAGGGCGCUUACCACUUUGUGAUUCAUGACUGGGGUGAAGUCGUAACAAGGUA